CAGGCCUAACACAUGCAAGUCGAACGGGACCUUCGGGUCUAGUGGCGCACGGGUGCGUAACGCGUGGGAAUCUGCCCUGGGGUCUGGGAUAACGGUUGGAAACGACUGCUAAUACCGGAUGAUGACGUAAGUCCAAAGAUUUAUCGCCCUGGGAUGAGCCCGCGUAGGAUUAGCUAGUUGGUGUGGUAAGAGCGCACCAAGGCGACGAUCCUUAGCUGGUCUGAGAGGAUGAUCAGCCACACUGGGACUGAGACACGGCCCAGACUCCUACGGGAGGCAGCAGUGGGGAAUAUUGGACAAUGGGCGCAAGCCUGAUCCAGCAAUGCCGCGUGAGUGAUGAAGGCCUUAGGGUUGUAAAGCUCUUUUACCCGGGAUGAUAAUGACAGUACCGGGAGAAUAAGCUCCGGCUAACUCCGUGCCAGCAGCCGCGGUAAU
rnacentral:rRNA from 1 species